AUUGAACGCUGGCGGGAUGCUUAACACAUGCAAGUCGAGCGAGAGGCGGACGGGUGAGUAAUGUCUGGGCACCUGCCUGAUGGAGGGGGACAACUAAUGGAAACGGUAGCUAAUUCCGCAUACCAUCAGAGGUGCCCAGAUGGGAUUAGCUAGUUGGUGGGGUAAUGGCUCACCUAGGCGACGAUCCGUAGCUGGUCUGAGAGGAUGACCAGCCACACUGGAACUGAGACACGGCCCAGACUCCUACGGGAGGCAGCAGUGGGGAAUUUUGGACAAUGGGGGCAACCCUGAUCCAGCCAUGCCGCGUGUGUGAUGAAGGCCUUCGGGUUGUAAAGCACUUUCGGCGGGGAGGCGUUACUCGCAGAAGAAGCACCGGCUAACUCCGUGCCAGCAGCCGCGGUAAUAC
rnacentral:rRNA from 1 species